CAGGAUUAUUUGCGUACAAGCUUUACGUAGCCGAUUGAGCCGGUUUUUAAAUAUUUUUUUUUGAGUUGGAUCUCGUUGUCACCCUUUUUCUAGGGGGAGAGGAGCUUCCAUUUCCCAUUUCCUGCGAGGAUUGAGGGGCACUUCGUUCGUGGUUCGUCUCGUCAUCAAUUGACGAUGGUAUUGUUGUCGAUUUCCGUUUUCUUUUCGUUGCUAGUUGCUGUACGUGCACCUUGUUGUAUAUUGGUUGCAAUUGCUGGUUGGUUGGAGAGUAAGUUGUUAACUGCAGCUGAUGUACUUUGUUCUAUAGGAGAUGAUGAUGGAUUCGUUUAAGGGGAUGCUUCAUUGUUGUUGGUGGCUGUCACAUGUGUACUGGGGUUGCUUGGGGUUUGUGUGAAGGAAGCACCGUUGUCCUUUGGUUUAGUUGUCUCCUUGUCCAGUUUAUCACAUGGCUUACUCAAAUUUGUUAGAAAUCUCGUCAUUACUGCACCAUUACACGUUCAUUAAUAAUUCAGUAAUGACAUUUUUAAUGACUCGUGUAAGGGUCGCUAAAGAACAAGCCAAACAACAAAGAAGGUCAAACAUUUGUCAUUACAACUUGUCAGUAUCGGAACUGAUGGUUUAAAGUUAGAUUGGCGUUGUUUUUAUAUAUGUACUAGAGAUGGUCGGGUAUAGAAAUUCUUAUACCCGAACCCGACCCGUACCCGAGUGAUCAACAAAAAAAAUUAACCGUACCCGACCCGUACCCGAUUAAAAAUUUAAAAAAUUACCCGUACCCGACCCGUACCCGAUCAAUAAUAAAAAAAAAUUACCCGUACCCGACCCGUACCCGAUAAAAAAUAAAAAAUUUUACCCGUACCCGAUUAAAAAUUACCUGUACCCGUACCCGACCCGAAUGAGUAGUAAAAAGUUUACCAAAAUUUAGGAUGAAAAAAAUAAAGUGUUUUAGAUAGCGAGCUAGAUAGAGCGUAUCAGGCUCUAGUUUGUAAGUAAAAUACAUCAAAAUGCUUGUUUACAUUUAAACAUAUAAAUACACUGUGAAGCAUGAAUAGAUUUUCAAUGUCUUUGGUACUUUAUACUCAUUUACAAAUGUCAACCAAAGGGAGUAAUAUCUACUCAAAUUUUUCGAGAAGCAUAUUUAUCCAAAAUGUCGUAAUACCCGUUGUAUUCAAUUUUGGGUAGGUAUGGUUUUUACGAAACAGUGCGACUUUUGAUCCAAUUCUUUAGAACCACAAGUAAGCGUGCUCAUUAUUUUGACACACAAAUAAAAAUUCACAUUAGAAUCACUUGAAAAAUCACGAACAUCCCCUAAAAUUAAUAGAGUAUCAUCGGUUCGUUUACGUGAAUUGACCAAACAUCAAAUAAUUCACGUGUAUUCCCGGUGUGAAAAAUUCAAUUUUAAAAAUGGUGAACUGUGAGUCCUUCAAGUGUAAGUAGUUUGAACAUUUGUGAGAAAUUUUUUUCGGUUACAUUUUUUUUUACUACAAAGCAAAAUGAAUUAUGAUUUUGAUUUAAAUUAAUCUGUCAAAUAUGCCCGUUUUGUAUGCCUCACAAACCCACACCAACGAUGUUAACGGGAGCUGGUGGUUUUUACAGCCAUUGAACUUCUGUUCCACCUCCCUUGGAACCCUCAACGAGUGAACACGGUGAUAAUUUGAACAUUUCGCGUGAAAAGAUUUUCACCCCUACUUUUGCGACUGUCACGCAUCGAGAUUUUCAGUGAAAAGAAACGUAAACUAACUCGACGUCAACAUUUCAAAAGGGCCUAAAAACAAUUGACAGAUUUUCUUUGUUUACUUUCUCUUUCGACUAUAUCUGCGUUAUUAUACAAACGUUCGUUACAUAUUUGGUAAUGUUGGAAACAUGGAGAUAUUAUCUUUCAUUCUACACGAAUACUUUGUAGGUACACGUGAAAAUUAAGGAGAUAUUCACAAAAGAGAAAGUAAACAAAGAGAAACUCUCAUUGGUUUAUGUGCCCUUAUGAAAUGUUAACAUCGAACUGGCAAUAUAGCUCAACUUGCUGUGCCAUCAAUCGGUGUCAUUUCAAGUGAGGUGACACCACCCAGAAGUGAAGAAUAAGAAGAACUUCUAUGCAGAUUUUCUGAAAUAAAUGUUCAUGUUUUUAUGGGUAGAAUCCUAAUGAUUUAUAUGUAAACUUUGAAAUUCUCCAACCAAUAUUUAAAAUAACAGUUUUCUGAUAUCAGAAUGUGAUAUGAGAACUACACUACAUUUUAUAUAUUAUUCAAAUAAUUUUUACUGGAUUGUGCAUUAAACAGCUUUAUAAUGGCAGUCCAUUAAAACCUACGUGAAAAGCAGGGUCUGGCCGCAACAUCUUAGAGCUAAGGCAGUGUAGUGUGUCUUAUUAAAUAUGUUAUAAAAAAGUAGGGUGGAAAAUAUUCACAUAACUUUUCACGUAACUAUGAUUGAUCGUUUUUUUUAAUGAAGAAAAGAAAUGUUUUUUUCUGGAAAAAGAUGCCAGUUUUCAGGUCUGGUUCUAGGUGCGAAUGUCAAAAUCCCUUGAAUCAAAUUGUUUAUAUUUCGGAACAACUGUUUUGCAAAAAAAAAUUCUCGUCAACGUGAAAACAUAUUUAUGUAAAGUACAAAUGGUCGGGUAAUCGAUCAGAAAAAAAAAUUUACCCGUACCCGACCCGUACCCGAGUGAGUAGUAAAUUUUUUUACCCGACCCGACCCGUACCCGAGUAAGCAGUAAAUUUUUUUUACCCGUACCCGACCCGUACCCGAUAGAAAAUAAAAUUUUUUACCCGUACCCGACCAAAAACCCGUCGGGUACGGGUACGGGUCGGGUUUCGGGUAAAAUACCCGAUACCCGACCAUCUCUAAUAUGUACGAUUAGAGUGUCCAUAGAGUAACGACAUCUCAUCCGGUCUCAAUUGGCAACAAUUCAAAACAUUUAAUUCGAAAUGUUCGCAGUUUCGUUAGCUUUACAUUGUUGACUUUGGCAGGUCGAUUCCAAACGAACAACUGGACUUCCGGUGAGACUCUCAACGGGUGAGUACGUUGUAUUGUGUUAGUGCGGAGAAAAUUCGAGUAUUUCGCGAGAAAGAAAAAAAAAAUAUCCGUACUUUGACGACACACUUGUAUUCCAGUGAAAAUAUAGGCCACUGGACUAUAAACGAGAAUUAACUGGCAAUAUAACCUAAGUUGCACCAUAAAAAUGUUUAAUGCCCGAGAUGAGUUUAUGUAGCCCCAAGUGUAACGUAAUUAUGGACGUACACCGGGGGACGUUUUGUAAUUAGUUUCGACCUAAUAAAUUACGCGAUUCUAAAGUAUGACAAAUCUUAACUUCCUUAACAAUAUGUUUAUUUAAUCUCAUCAAGCUAAUACAUGCAGAAACCAUGUUUAUCCAUGAUAAUAUUUAUUUCCUAUUUCAGGUUGGUCCCAUUGUACUGAAAUGUUUGUUGCUAUCGAACGACAAAGCUUUAGAAACUACGUUGAAAAUUAUUCUACAUUUCAUCAAAGAUGAGGACAGCUUCUUUCGUGAUCAUCUUCAAACAUUGGUGCCACAAUUGUUGAAGCUUUCAACAUAUGAUUCAGAUAUGCAAGUACGCAUUAGAGCACUAGAGUGUUUACAUUUUGCAACGAAAUAUCCACCAUUUCUGCUACUUCCGUAUAAACAGGAAGUAGUACUAGGAUUGCAGAGCUCGCUAGAUGACCACAAACGCUUGGUUAGGAAUGCUGCAGUUACUGCCAGACUACAAUGGUUUUUGGUUGGCACCGAUAGUUCAAACGCAACAAAUGAUUAGGUGUUACUACAAGAUAUGUACAAUACAUGGGAUUUCACCUAUUUUAAGAAAGUGUACAAAAACUUGAUUUUGUAUUUUAUUUGAUUACGUUCAAAACAUUAAAAUUAAUUAAAGCAUUAUUUUGUAUAAUUGCUAGGUUCUCGGCA